CUGCAGUGAUGAUGACGACGACUAUGUCACUUUCCUGAUUAAAUACUGUGAUGGUAUUUCAGUCACUACCUCAUCUGAGACUGCUA
rnacentral:snoRNA from 13 species